UACGUAGGGGGCAAGCGUUAUCCGGAAUGAUUGGGCGUAAAGCGUCCGCAGGUGGCAAUGUAAGUCUGCUGUCAAAGCGUCUGGCUCAACCAGAUAAAGGCAGUGGAAACUACAUAGCUAGAGUAAGGUAGGGGUAGAGGGAAUUCCUGGUGUAGCGGUGAAAUGCGCAGAUAUCGGGAAGAACACCCGUGGCGAAGGCGGCUCUCUGGGACGGUACUGACGCUGAGACGCGAAAGCGUGGGGAGCGAACAGG
rnacentral:rRNA from 1 species